AGACCACCACGGUGACUUGAAAGCAACUCACUGUACUUUAGUACUGGACCAUCUGAGUUUCUAACUCAGUGAUAAAAGAUUACUAGGUGUAAUCAAGUACUUAUCAAGUCAGUAUGUGAGUCAAAAUGGAAUUGACCCCUCUCAAUUAGUUGAAGAUAUGCAUCAAUGUAUUUCAAUUUAGUAAAACCUUGGUUAGGAUAAUCCAUGAG
rnacentral:lncRNA from 1 species